rnacentral:sRNA from 1 species
AUGUACCGCUCGUACACUGCGGUUCUGAGCGCGCCGCCCGCCCUCACCUGACGACCGCUCGCUACGUUGUGUUAGCC